GACGGAGGGUGCAAGCGUUGUUCGGAUUUACUGGGCGUAAAGGGCGUGUAGGCGGUUGGUCAAGUCUGAUGUGAAAGCCCGGGGCUCAGCCCCGGAAGGGCAUCGGAAACUAGCCAGCUGGAGCGCGGUAGAGGAGGGUGGAAUUCCCGGUGUAGCGGUGAAAUGCGUAGAUAUCAGGAGGAACACCGGCGGCGAAGGCGGCCCUCUGGAGCGUUGCUGACGCUGAGACGCGAAAGCGUGGGGAGCAAACAGG
rnacentral:rRNA from 1 species